GUAGAGGUGCUGCAUGGCUGUCGUCAGCUCGUGUCGUGAGAUGUUGGGUUAAGUCCCGCAACGAGCGCAACCCUUGUUUGCUGUUGCCAUCAGGUAAUGCUGGGCACUCUGCAAAGACUGCCGGUGAUAAACCGGAGGAAGGUGGGGAUGACGUCAAGUCAGCAUGGCCUUUAUGUCUGGGGCUACACACGUGCUACAAUGGCCGAUACAAACCGUCGCGAGCCCGCAAGGGGGAGCUAAUCGGAGAAAGUCGGUCUCAGUUCGGAUAGCAGGCUGCAACUAGCCUGCUUGAAGUUGGAAUCGCUAGUAAUCGCGGAUCAGCACGCCGCGGUGAAUACGUUCCCGGGCC
rnacentral:rRNA from 1 species